rnacentral:lncRNA from 1 species
UUAACAUCACUUCCCCAGGGCGAGGAACUCCAUGUGAGGCUCUGGGGGAACCUGACUAUGUGCAGUCGUUUACAGCCUGGGUCUCCUGGAGCCUAUGAAAUGAGAAGCAGUCAUUAGCACAGCAAGCGGCCCUCAUCCUUCCUUCUCAAUAAUAACACUGUCACCAGAGGAUGGAAAAUUACCCUGACGUCUCUGUAUCUCCAAAUUGCACUUCAGAGACAGACUGCGUAAGGCAAACAGACCCUGAGUGAAAACCUCCUGGCUAGACUUCCAAGCCAAGGCCUAAUAAAUAACCCUGAAAUAUACAAAGUGAUGGCAGCUUUGCUCUGUGGCUCGUGGCUUCUGCCCUGGGAAGGACCAUGAAUUUCAGCGUCUGACAGAUGGGGUCAGAAAGUGGAGUCUGCCUGGUGGGUUGAGGAUCUGCAAAUUAACCCCAUGGUGGUGGUUUCAGAACAAGUGUGCCUGCUCACGCAAAGACUAACCUCUAAGAAAGGAGCAGGCCCGGAGGUGAGGCCCCCUGGGCGUGAAAGAAUCAACCCCAGUCCACAAAGUCCGGAGAUGAGACAUCCUGCCUGGAGGAGGGAGCCCUGUGCAUCGCAGGAUCAAAGAAGCCAAACAGGAUCUUUAGUGGUGACCGAAAAUGCUCAUGAGGAGAAAGGCUGCAUGGCAUUAAGUGAACCCCAUUGAAAGGGCCCAGUGAACAGAGCCCCUGGACAUUGCCGGAAGGAAAGGAGAAAGCCCAGCAAAGCACACAACGUAUCAGGCUUUUCAUGUGUCAUUGGGUGAAAGGGAGUCACAUGGGCCAAGGAGGGGAAGCAGGUGUCAUCAGAGCAGUUCCACAGCCCUCUAGGCACAGUAACAGGCAUGCUUUCUGUCCUUCUCUCCUUUUAGAUUGUAAGCUACCCAAAGUCCAUCUCCAUGGGUUUUUUUCCUUAUGUGCAAACUACCAUAUGACAGGUGUGCCUGACAAUAACUCAGGUAUAGCUGAGAAUGAUCCUGUAGUCCAAGAAUGUUGGUUCUGAGCUCUGAACUAAGGAAUCUGGGAGCUGCCAACCCAGAGGUUUACUCCUUAUCUAUGGAGCAUAGGUGAACCCCUGGCCCAUUUCUUGGAACAGCAUGUGCGGGGAACCAAGGCCCUUUGUUUUGAGCUAGGUGGAGGUGGCCAGGUAGAGGUCGCCAGGAAGAGGUGGCCAGGUGGAGGUUGCUAAGCAAAGAUUGCUAUAUUAACUGGGUGCUUUUUAGAAACCAUAGUGGUUACCCCAUUCAUCCAGCCACUCCUGGACUCCCUGUACGUUUAAGUUGCCCAAUAAAACUUAUGUCUUGCUAAAAAAAAAAAAAAAA